CCAUACUGUGGGGAUAAGAUCAAGA
rnacentral:piRNA from 1 species